GAUGAACGCUGGCGGCGUGCCUAAUACAUGCAAGUCGAACGAAACUUCUUUAUCACCGAGUGCUUGCACUCACCGAUAAAGAGUUGAGUGGCGAACGGGUGAGUAACACGUGGGCAACCUGCCCAAAAGAGGGGGAUAACACUUGGAAACAGGUGCUAAUACCACAUAACCAUAGUUACCGCAUGGUAACUAUGUAAAAGGUGGCUAUACUACCGCUUUUGGAUGGGCCCGCGGCGCAUUAGCUAGUUGGUAGGGUAAAGGCUUACCAAGGCAAUGAUGCGUAGCCGAAUUGAGAGGUUGAUCGGCCACAUUGGGACUGAGACACGGCCCAAACUCCUACGGGAGGCAGCAGUAGGGAAUCUUCCACAAUGGGCGAAAGCCUGAUGGAGCAACGCCGCGUGGGUGAAGAAGGUCUUCGGAUCGUAAAACCCUGUUGUUAGAGAAGAAAGUGCGUGAGAGUAACUGUUCACGUUUCGACGGUAUCUAACCAGAAAGCCACUGCUAACUACGUG
rnacentral:rRNA from 1 species